UACGUAGGGUGCAAGCGUUAAUCGGAAUUACUGGGCGUAAAGCGUGCGCAGGCGGUUAUGCAAGACAGAUGUGAAAUCCCCGGGCUUAACCUGGGAACCGCAUUUGUGACUGCAUAGCUGGAGUACGGCAGAGGGGGAUGGUAUUCCGCGUGUAGCAGUGAAAUGCGUAGAGAUGUGGAGGAACACCGAUGGCGAAGGCAGCCCCCUGGGUCGACACUGACGCUCAUGCACGAAAGCGUGGGGAGCAAACAGG
rnacentral:rRNA from 1 species